GCAAAACGCGAAGAACCUUACCAAGGCUUGACAUAUACGAGAACGGGCCAGAAAUGGUCAACUCUUUGGACACUCGUAAACAGGUGGUGCAUGGUUGUCGUCAGCUCGUGUCGUGAGAUGUUGGGUUAAGUCCCGCAACGAGCGCAACCCUCGUUCUAUGUUGCCAGCACGUAAUGGUGGGAACUCAUGGGAUACUGCCGGGGUCAACUCGGAGGAAGGUGGGGAUGACGUCAAAUCAUCAUGCCCCUUAUGUCUUGGGCUUCACGCAUGCUACAAUGGCCGGUACAAAGGGCUGCAAUACCGCGAGGUGGAGCGAAUCCCAAAAAGCCGGUCCCAGUUCGGAUUAAGGUCUGCAACUCGACCUCAUGAAGUCGGAGUCGCUAGUAAUCGCAGAUCAGCAACGCUGCGGUGAAUACGUUCCCGGGUCUUGUACACACCG
rnacentral:rRNA from 1 species